GGAAGCGUUUCGAGUGCUGGCGCCUCGCCCGGACUUCAAAUCCGGUGGGAAUUGCGGCAACGCAAUUCCGGCGGGUUCGAUUCCCGUCCGCUUCCG
rnacentral:tRNA from 1 species